rnacentral:lncRNA from 1 species
AGUAAACAAAAGAUAUACUCAAAUGCUUUGAGCUCAUCAAAAUCAAAUAGGGUUAUAAUCAAUCACUCCACAAUCUCCCCCUUUUUGAUGAUGACAAAACAUUGAGUAUAUGUAAAAUGAAUUGCUCAAUAAACAAGGAAAUGAAAUCUAUAAAUGAAUUCAAGUGUCUGGUUUUUUAAUUUAUCCAAACUUGAAAGGUGUGAAACAAUAAAUUUUGGAGUUAAAGCUCCCCCUUUCAUUUGGAA